UUCCCUUCGGUGUAUGGCACAGGAAAAUUUGAGUUUCCUAGAGAGAAAAUUCUUAAGGGAAC
rnacentral:tRNA from 1 species